AGACGAUGCUUAUGUAUCUCCUCAGCCCAAACGUAACCUGGGGUUCGACUGGUUUUUAUAUCCUCUUUAUCUAUAACUCACG
rnacentral:ncRNA from 1 species